rnacentral:miRNA from 1 species
UGCUGUUGGAAUCGUAGUCCCGGC